CCUCUGUCCUCACAGCUAGGAGCUACUUCCUCCCAGUCAGCUCCCUCCUAGCCAGGAGCUACUUCCUCCCAGCCAGCUCCCUCCCAACCUCUGUCCUCUCAGCCAAGAGCUACUACAUCUCAACCUGCUCAUGCUUUCUCAUAGCCAACUCCCUUCCAACCAGUAAUAGGUCAUUUGUCUCAGAUAGCAGCACCCCAUUCAUCUCAACCAUGACAUGUAUCAGGGAUAUUUUGGUUGUAUCAAGGCUAUUUUGGAUGUAUCAGGGAC
rnacentral:lncRNA from 1 species